GUCGGCAGGCCUAACACAUGCAAGUCGAACGGUAACAGGAAGCAGCUUGCUGCUUCGCUGACGAGUGGCGGACGGGUGAGUAAUGUCUGGGAAACUGCCUGAUGGAGGGGGAUAACUACUGGAAACGGUAGCUAAUACCGCAUAACGUCGCAAGACCAAAGAGGGGGACCUUCGGGCCUCUUGCCAUCGGAUGUGCCCAGAUGGGAUUAGCUAGUAGGUGGGGUAACGGCUCACCUAGGCGACGAUCCCUAGCUGGUCUGAGAGGAUGACCAGCCACACUGGAACUGAGACACGGUCCAGACUCCUACGGGAGGCAGCAGUGGGGAAUAUUGCACAAUGGGCGCAAGCCUGAUGCAGCCAUGCCGCGUGUAUGAAGAAGGCCUUCGGGUUGUAAAGUACUUUCAGCGGGGAGGAAGGGAGUAAAGUUAAUACCUUUACUCAUUGACGUUACCCGCAGAAGAAGCACCGGCUAACUCCGUGCCAGCAGCCGCGGUAAUACGGAGGGUGCAAGCGUUAAUCGGAAUUACUGGGCGUAAAGCGCACGCAGGCGGUUUGUUAAGUCAGAUGUGAAAUCCCCGGGCUCAACCUGGGAACUGCAUCUGAUACUGGCAAGCUUGAGUCUCGUAGAGGGGGGUAGAAUUCCAGGUGUAGCGGUGAAAUGCGUAGAGAUCUGGAGGAAUACCGGUGGCGAAGGCGGCCCCCUGGACGAAGACUGACGCUCAGGUGCGAAAGCGUGGGGAGCAAACAGGAUUAGAUACCAUGGUAGUCCACGCCGUAAACGAUGUCGACUUGGAGGUUGUGCCCUUGAGGCGUGGCUUCCGGAGCUAACGCGUUAAGUCGACCGCCUGGGGAGUACGGCCGCAAGGUUAAAACUCAAAUGAAUUGACGGGGGCCCGCACAAGCGGUGGAGCAUGUGGUUUAAUUCGAUGCAACGCGAAGAACCUUACCUGGUCUUGACAUCCACGGAAGUUUUCAGAGAUGAGAAUGUGCCUUCGGGAACCGUGAGACAGGUGCUGCAUGGCUGUCGUCAGCUCGUGUUGUGAAAUGUUGGGUUAAGUCCCGCAACGAGCGCAACCCUUAUCCUUUGUUGCCAGCGGUCCGGCCGGGAACUCAAAGGAGACUGCCAGUGAUAAACUGGAGGAAGGUGGGGAUGACGUCAAGUCAUCAUGGCCCUUACGACCAGGGCUACACACGUGCUACAAUGGCGCAUACAAAGAGAAGCGACCUCGCGAGAGCAAGCGGACCUCAUAAAGUGCGUCGUAGUCCGGAUUGGAGUCUGCAACUCGACUCCAUGAAGUCGGAAUCGCUAGUAAUCGUGGAUCAGAAUGCCACGGUGAAUACGUUCCCGGGCCUUGUACACACCGCCCGUCACACCAUGGGAGUGGGUUGCAAAAGAAGUAGGUAGCUUAACCUUCGGGAGGGCGCUUACCACUUUGUGAUUCAUGACUGGGGU
rnacentral:rRNA from 1 species